rnacentral:lncRNA from 1 species
AUGACGAACACAAAGGGAAAGAGGAGAGACACCUGACCCGUGUUCUCUAGGCCUUUUAGAAGACAUGGAUUGUUCCUUUGGCCAUGUUUAUGCAAAUCUGUAAGAGAGGUGGUAUUAUAGAUAUCAAGGGAAGGGGUACUGUUCAAAAAGGAAUGCCCCACAAGUGUUACCAUGGCAAAACGAAGAGUCUGCAGUGUUGCCCAGCAUGCUGUUGGCAUUGUUGUAACAAACAAGUUAAGGGAAAGAUUCUUGCCAAGAGAAUUAAUGUGCGUAUUGAGCACAUUAAGCACUCUAAGAGCCGAGAUAGCUUCCUGAAACGCCUGAAGGAACAUGAUCAGAAAAAGAAAGAAGCCAAAGAGAAAGGUACCUGGGUUCAACUGAAGCGCCAUCCUGCUCCACCCAGAGACACGCACUGUGUGAGAACCAGUGGGAAGGAGCCUGAGCUGAGGAAGCUAUUCCCUAUGGAUUCAUGGCAUAU